rnacentral:rRNA from 1 species
GAUGAACGCUGGCGGCGUGCCUAAUACAUGCAAGUCGAGCGAACGGACGAGAAGCUUGCUUCUCUGAUGUUAUCGGCGGACGGGUGAGUAACACGUGGAUAACCUACCUAUAAGACUGGGAUAACUACGGGAAACCGUAGCUAAUACCGGAUAAUAUUUUGAACCGCAUGGUUCAAAAGUGAAAGACGGUCUUUCUGUCACUUAUAGCUGGAUCCGCGCUGCAUUAGCUAGUUGGUAAGGUAACGGCUUACCAAGGCAACGAUGCAUAGCCGACCUGAGAGGGUGGACGGCCACACUGGAACUGAGACACGGUCCAGACUCCUACGGGAGGCAGCAGUAGGGAAUCUUCCGCAAUGGGCGAAAGCCUGACGGAGCAACGCCGCGUGAGUGAUGAAGGUCUUCGGAUCGUAAAACUCUGUUAUUAGGGAAGAACAUAUGUGUAAGUAACUGUGCACAUCUUGACGGUACCUAAUCAGAAAGCCACGGCUAACUACGUG